AUUGAACGCUGGCGGCAGGCCUAACACAUGCAAGUCGAGCGGAUGAAGGGAGCUUGCUCCUGGAUUCAGCGGCGGACGGGUGAGUAAUGCCUAGGAAUCUGCCUGGUAGUGGGGGAUAACGUCCGGAAACGGGCGCUAAUACCGCAUACGUCCUGAGGGAGAAAGUGGGGGAUCUUCGGACCUCACGCUAUCAGAUGAGCCUAGGUCGGAUUAGCUAGUUGGUGGGGUAAAGGCCUACCAAGGCGACGAUCCGUAACUGGUCUGAGAGGAUGAUCAGUCACACUGGAACUGAGACACGGUCCAGACUCCUACGGGAGGCAGCAGUGGGGAAUAUUGGACAAUGGGCGAAAGCCUGAUCCAGCCAUGCCGCGUGUGUGAAGAAGGUCUUCGGAUUGUAAAGCCCUUUUAGUUGGGAGGAAGAGCAGUAAGUUAAUACCUUGCUGUUUUGACGGUACCAACAGAAUAAGCACCGGCUAACUUCGUG
rnacentral:rRNA from 1 species